UGAGGAAUAUUGGUCAAUGGGCGAGAGCCUGAACCAGCCAAGUAGCGUGAAGGAUGACUGCCCUAUGGGUUGUAAACUUCUUUUAUAUGGGAAUAAAGUAUUCCACGUGUGGGAUUUUGUAUGUACCAUAUGAAUAAGGAUCGGCUAACUCCGUGCCAGCAGCCGCGGUAAUACGGAGGAUCCGAGCGUUAUCCGGAUUUAUUGGGUUUAAAGGGAGCGUAGGUGGACAGUUAAGUCAGUUGUGAAAGUUUGCGGCUCAACCGUAAAAUUGCAGUUGAUACUGGCUGUCUUGAGUACAGUAGA
rnacentral:rRNA from 1 species